GUGGUGGCUCAGUGGCUAAGCAUUUGGCUGCUAACCAAAAGGUCGGCAGUUCAAAUCCACCAUCCACU
rfam:Loxodonta africana unplaced genomic scaffold scaffold_18, whole genome shotgun sequence.